GCAGCCGCGGUAAUACGUAGGUGGCAAGCGUUGUCCGGAUUUACUGGGUGUAAAGGGCGCGUAGGCGGGAUAUCAAGUCAGUCGUGAAAUACCGAGGCUCAACCUCGGGGCUGCGAUUGAAACUGAUAUUCUUGAGUAUCGGAGAGGAAAGCGGAAUUCCUAGUGUAGCGGUGAAAUGCGUAGAUAUUAGGAGGAACACCAGUGGCGAAGGCGGCUUUCUGGACGACAACUGACGCUGAGGCGCGAAAGUGUGGGGAGCAAACAGGAUUAGAUACCCC
rnacentral:rRNA from 1 species